AGAGUUUGAUCAUGGCUCAGGAUGAACGCUGGCGGCGUGCCUAAUACAUGCAAGUCGAGCGAACAGAUAAGGAGCUUGCUCCUUUGACGUUAGCGGCGGACGGGUGAGUAACACGUGGGUAACCUACCUAUAAGACUGGAAUAACUCCGGGAAACCGGGGCUAAUGCCGGAUAACAUUUAGAACCGCAUGGUUCUAAAGUGAAAGAUGGUUUUGCUAUCACUUAUAGAUGGACCCGCGCCGUAUUAGCUAGUUGGUAAGGUAACGGCUUACCAAGGCAACGAUACGUAGCCGACCUGAGAGGGUGAUCGGCCACACUGGAACUGAGACACGGUCCAGACUCCUACGGGAGGCAGCAGUAGGGAAUCUUCCGCAAUGGGCGAAAGCCUGACGGAGCAACGCCGCGUGAGUGAUGAAGGUCUUCGGAUCGUAAAACUCUGUUAUUAGGGAAGAACAAAUGUGUAAGUAACUAUGCACGUCUUGACGGUACCUAAUCAGAAAGCCACGGCUAACUACGUGCCAGCAGCCGCGGUAAUACGUAGGUGGCAAGCGUUAUCCGGAAUUAUUGGGCGUAAAGCGCGCGUAGGCGGUUUCUUAAGUCUGAUGUGAAAGCCCACGGCUCAACCGUGGAGGGUCAUUGGAAACUGGGAAACUUGAGUGCAGAAGAGGAAAGUGGAAUUCCAUGUGUAGCGGUGAAAUGCGCAGAGAUAUGGAGGAACACCAGUGGCGAAGGCGACUUUCUGGUCUGUAACUGACGCUGAUGUGCGAAAGCG
rnacentral:rRNA from 1 species